rnacentral:rRNA from 1 species
UGGGGAAUAUUGCACAAUGGGCGCAAGCCUGAUGCAGCGACGCCGCGUGCGGGAUGGAGGCCUUCGGGUUGUAAACCGCUUUGUUCAAGGGCAAAGCACGGUCUUUGGCCGUGUUGAGUGGAUUGUUCGAAUAAGCACCGGCUAACUACGUGCC